CGUGAACAAUCUAGCUUUAACUUGGGAAUAACGACUGGAAACGGUCGCUAAUACCUGAUGAGGUUGAGACAAGGCAUCUUGUUUUAAUGAAAGGUAGGGACUAUGAAAGUGGCCUAUCGGUUUUAGGGGAGUUCAUGGGAUAUCAGCUAGUUGGUGGGGUAACGGCCUACCAAGGCUAAGACGUCUAGGCGGAUUGAGAGAUUGACCGCCAACACUGGGACUGAGACACUGCCCAGACUCCUACGGGAGGCUGCAGUCGAGAAUCUUUCGCAAUGGGCGCAAGCCUGACGAAGCGACGCCGUGUGAACGAAGAAGGCCUUCGGGUUGUAAAGUUCUUUUGCCUGGGAGCAAGAAAGAGCUAUGAAUAAUAGCUUAAUUUGAGAGUACCAGGAGAAUAAGCACUGGCUAACUCCGUGCCAGCAGCUGCGGUAAUACGGAGGGUGCAAGCAUUAAUCGGAUUUACUGGGCGUAAAGGGUGCGUAGGUGCUUUAUAAGUCGUGCGUGAAAGACUGGGGCUCAACCUCAGCAGUGCGCUCGAAACUAUUAAAAUGGAGGGAAAACGGGGAAAAUGGAAUUCUGCAAGUAGCGGUGAAAUGCGUAGAUAUGCAGAGGAACACCGGUGGUGAAGACGAUUUUCUAGUUUUUUCCUGACACUGAGGCACGAAAGCAAGGGGAGCAAACAGGAUUAGAUACCCUGGUAGUCCUUGCCGUAAACGAUGCAUACUUGAUGCAGUUGGACUCUCUCUAGCUGUGUCGUAGCGAACGCGAUAAGUAUGCCGCCUGGGGAGUACACUCGCAAGGGUGAAACUCAAAAGAAUUGACGGGGGCCCGCACAAGCAGUGGAACAUGUGGUUUAAUUCGAUGCAACGCGAAGAACCUUACCUGGUCUUGACAUGCAGUUGAAUAUGUCAGAGAUGACAUAGUCCGUAAGGACAAUUGCACAGGUGCUGCAUGGCUGUCGUCAGCUCGUGCCGUGAGGUGUUAGGUUAAGUCCUGCAACGAGCGCAACCCUUAUUGUUAGUUGCCAUCAUUUAGUUGGGUACUCUAACGAGACUGCCCGGGUUAACCGGGAGGAAGGUUAGGAUGACGUCAAGUCCGCAUGGCCUUUAUGACCAGGGCCACACACGUGUUACAAUGGUCGGUACAGAAGGCAGCGAAGCCGAAAGGCGGAGCAAAUCCUAUAAAGCCGAUCUCAGUUCAGAUUGUAGUCUGCAACUCGACUACAUGAAGUUGGAAUUGCUAGUAAUGGCGUGUCAGCUACAACGCCGUGAAUACGUUCCCGGGCCUUGUACACACCGCCCGUCACAACAUGGGAGUUGGUCUCACCCGAAGCCGCUGACUCAAGCCGCAAGGAAAGAGGCGUCUAAGGUGAGGCUGAUGACUGGGAUGAAGUCGUAACAAGGUA
rnacentral:rRNA from 1 species